ACUCUCUUAGUAUAACUAGUAUAAUUGACUUCCAAUCAAUAGGAUCUAAUAAAAACUUAGAAUAGAGUA
rnacentral:tRNA from 1 species